rnacentral:rRNA from 1 species
GAUGAACGCUGGCGGCGUGCCUAAUACAUGCAAGUCGAGCGAACGGACGAGAAGCUUGCUUCUCUGAUGUUAGCGGCGGACGGGUGAGUAACACGUGGAUAACCUACCUAUAAGACUGGGAUAACUUCGGGAAACCGGAGCUAAUACCGGAUAAUAUUUUGAACCGCAUGGUUCAAAAGUGAAAGACGGUCUUGCUGUCACUUAUAGAUGGAUCCGCGCUGCAUUAGCUAGUUGGUAAGGUAACGGCUUACCAAGGCAACGAUGCAUAGCCGACCUGAGAGGGUGAUCGGCCACACUGGAACUGAGACACGGUCCAGACUCCUACGGGAGGCAGCAGUAGGGAAUCUUCCGCAAUGGGCGAAAGCCUGACGGAGCAACGCCGCGUGAGUGAUGAAGGUCUUCGGAUCGUAAAACUCUGUUAUUAGGGAAGAACAUAUGUGUAAGUAACUGUGCACAUCUUGACGGUACCUAAUCAGAAAGCCACGGCUAACUACGUGCCAGCAGCCGCGGUAAUACGUAGGUGGCAAGCGUUAUCCGGAAUUAUUGGGCGUAAAGCGCGCGUAGGCGGUUUUUUAAGUCUGAUGUGAAAGCCCACGGCUCAACCGUGGAGGGUCAUUGGAAACUGGAAAACUUGAGUGCAGAAGAGGAAAGUGGAGUUCCAUGUGUAGCGGUGAAAUGCGCAGAGAUAUGGAGGAACACCAGUGGCGAAGGCGACUUUCUGGUCUGUAACUGACGCUGAUGUGCGAAAGCGUGGGGAUCAAACAGGAUUAGAUACCCUGGUAGUCCACGCCGUAAACGAUGAGUGCUAAGUGUUAGGGGGUUUCCGCCCCUUAGUGCUGCAGCUAACGCAUUAAGCACUCCGCCUGGGGAGUACGACCGCAAGGUUGAAACUCAAAGGAAUUGACGGGGACCCGCACAAGCGGUGGAGCAUGUGGUUUAAUUCGAAGCAACGCGAAGAACCUUACCAAAUCUUGACAUCCUUUGACAACUCUAGAGAUAGAGCCUUCCCCUUCGGGGGACAAAGUGACAGGUGGUGCAUGGUUGUCGUCAGCUCGUGUCGUGAGAUGUUGGGUUAAGUCCCGCAACGAGCGCAACCCUUAAGCUUAAUUGCCAUCAUUAAGUUGGGCACUCUAAGUUGACUGCCGGUGACAAACCGGAGGAGGGUGGGGAUGACGUCAAAUCAUCAUGCCCCUUAUGAUUUGGGCUACACACGUGCUACAAUGGACAAUACAAAGGGCAGCGAAACCGCGAGGUCAAGCAAAUCCCAUAAAGUUGUUCUCAGUUCGGAUUGUAGUCUGCAACUCGACUACAUGAAGCUGGAAUCGCUAGUAAUCGUAGAUCAGCAUGCUACGGUGAAUACGUUCCCGGGUCU